GGGUUGUGAGGUUAAGCGACUAAGCGUACACGGUGGAUGCCCUGGCAGUCAGAGGCGAUGAAGGACGUGCUAAUCUGCGAAAAGCGUCGGUAAGGUGAUAUGAACCGUUAUAACCGGCGAUGUCCGAAUGGGGAAACCCAGUGCAAUUCGUUGCACUAUCGUUAACUGAAUACAUAGGUUAACGAGGCGAACCGGGGGAACUGAAACAUCUAAGUACCCCGAGGAAAAGAAAUCAACCGAGAUUCCCCCAGUAGCGGCGAGCGAACGGGGAGCAGCCCAGAGUCUGAAUCAGCUUGUGUGUUAGUGGAACGGUCUGGAAAGUCCGACGGUACAGGGUGAUAGUCCCGUACACCAAAAUGCACAGGUUGUGAACUCGAAGAGUAGGGCGGGACACGUGGUAUCCUGUCUGAAUAUGGGGGGACCAUCCUCCAAGGCUAAAUACUCCUGACUGACCGAUAGUGAACCAGUACCGUGAGGGAAAGGCGAAAAGAACCCCGGCGAGGGGAGUGAAAAAGAACCUGAAACCGUGUACGUACAAGCAGUGGGAGCACCUUCGGGUGUGACUGCGUACCUUUUGUAUAAUGGGUCAGCGACUUAUAUUCUGUAGCAAGGUUAACCGUAUAGGGGAGCCGCAGGGAAACCGAGUCUUAACUGGGCGUUAAGUUGCAGGGUAUAGACCCGAAACCCGGUGAUCUAGCCAUGGGCAGGUUGAAGGUUGGGUAACACUAACUGGAGGACCGAACCGACUAAUGUUGAAAAAUUAGCGGAUGACUUGUGGCUGGGGGUGAAAGGCCAAUCAAACCGGGAGAUAGCUGGUUCUCCCCGAAAGCUAUUUAGGUAGCGCCUCGUGAACUCAUCUUCGGGGGUAGAGCACUGUUUCGGCUAGGGGGUCAUCCCGACUUACCAACCCGAUGCAAACUACGAAUACCGAAGAAUGUUAUCACGGGAGACACACGGCGGGUGCUAACGUCCGUCGUGAAGAGGGAAACAACCCAGACCGCCAGCUAAGGUCCCAAAGUCAUGGUUAAGUGGGAAACGAUGUGGGAAGGCACAGACAGCCAGGAUGUUGGCUUAGAAGCAGCCAUCAUUUAAAGAAAGCGUAAUAGCUCACUGGUCGAGUCGGCCUGCGCGGAAGAUGUAACGGGGCUAAACCAUGCACCGAAGCUGCGGCAGCGACACUAUGUGUUGUUGGGUAGGGGAGCGUUCUGUAAGCCUGCGAAGGUGUGCUGUGAGGCAUGCUGGAGGUAUCAGAAGUGCGAAUGCUGACAUAAGUAACGAUAAAGCGGGUGAAAAGCCCGCUCGCCGGAAGACCAAGGGUUCCUGUCCAACGUUAAUCGGGGCAGGGUGAGUCGACCCCUAAGGCGAGGCCGAAAGGCGUAGUCGAUGGGAAACAGGUUAAUAUUCCUGUACUUGGUGUUACUGCGAAGGGGGGACGGAGAAGGCUAUGUUAGCCGGGCGACGGUUGUCCCGGUUUAAGCAUGUAGGCUGGUUAUCCAGGCAAAUCCGGAUAAUCAAGGCUGAGGUGUGAUGACGAGGCACUACGGUGCUGAAGUAACAAAUGCCCUGCUUCCAGGAAAAGCCUCUAAGCAUCAGGUAACAUCAAAUCGUACCCCAAACCGACACAGGUGGUCAGGUAGAGAAUACCAAGGCGCUUGAGAGAACUCGGGUGAAGGAACUAGGCAAAAUGGUGCCGUAACUUCGGGAGAAGGCACGCUGGUGUGUAGGUGAAGUCCCUGCGGAUGGAGCUGAGACCAGUCGAAGAUACCAGCUGGCUGCAACUGUUUAUUAAAAACACAGCACUGUGCAAACACGAAAGUGGACGUAUACGGUGUGACGCCUGCCCGGUGCCGGAAGGUUAAUUGAUGGGGUUAUCCGUAAGGAGAAGCUCUUGAUCGAAGCCCCGGUAAACGGCGGCCGUAACUAUAACGGUCCUAAGGUAGCGAAAUUCCUUGUCGGGUAAGUUCCGACCUGCACGAAUGGCGUAAUGAUGGCCAGGCUGUCUCCACCCGAGACUCAGUGAAAUUGAACUCGCUGUGAAGAUGCAGUGUACCCGCGGCAAGACGGAAAGACCCCGUGAACCUUUACUAUAGCUUGACACUGAACAUUGAGCCUUGAUGUGUAGGAUAGGUGGGAGGCUUUGAAGCGUGGACGCCAGUCUGCGUGGAGCCAACCUUGAAAUACCACCCUUUAAUGUUUGAUGUUCUAACGUUGGCCCCUUACCGGGGUUGCGGACAGUGUCUGGUGGGUAGUUUGACUGGGGCGGUCUCCUCCCAAAGCGUAACGGAGGAGCACGAAGGUUAGCUAAUCCUGGUCGGACAUCAGGAGGUUAGUGCAAUGGCAUAAGCUAGCUUGACUGCGAGCGUGACGGCGCGAGCAGGUGCGAAAGCAGGUCAUAGUGAUCCGGUGGUUCUGAAUGGAAGGGCCAUCGCUCAACGGAUAAAAGGUACUCCGGGGAUAACAGGCUGAUACCGCCCAAGAGUUCAUAUCGACGGCGGUGUUUGGCACCUCGAUGUCGGCUCAUCACAUCCUGGGGCUGAAGUAGGUCCCAAGGGUAUGGCUGUUCGCCAUUUAAAGUGGUACGCGAGCUGGGUUUAGAACGUCGUGAGACAGUUCGGUCCCUAUCUGCCGUGGGCGCUGGAGAAUUGAGGGGGGCUGCUCCUAGUACGAGAGGACCGGAGUGGACGCAUCACUGGUGUUCGGGUUGUCAUGCCAAUGGCACUGCCCGGUAGCUAAAUGCGGAAGAGAUAAGUGCUGAAAGCAUCUAAGCACGAAACUUGCCCCGAGAUGAGUUCUCCCUGAGACUUUAAGUCUCCUGAAGGAACGUUGAAGACGACGACGUUGAUAGGCCGGGUGUGUAAGCGCAGCGAUGCGUUGAGCUAACCGGUACUAAUGAACCGUGAGGCUUAACCUUACAACGCCGAAG
rnacentral:rRNA from 1 species